GAUGAACGCUGGCGGCGUGCCUAAUACAUGCAAGUCGAGCGAACAGACGAGGAGCUUGCUCCUCUGACGUUAGCGGCGGGCGGGUGAGUAACACGUGGAUAACCUACCUAUAAGACUGGGAUAACUUCGGGAAACCGGAGCUAAUACCGGAUAAUAUAUUGAACCGCAUGGUUCAAUAGUGAAAGACGGUUUUGCUGUCACUUAUAGAUGGAUCCGCGCCGCAUUAGCUAGUUGGUAAGGUAACGGCUUACCAAGGCAACGAUGCGUAGCCGACCUGAGAGGGUGAUAGGCCACACUGGAACUGAGACACGGUCCAGACUCCUACGGGAGGCAGCAGUAGGGAAUCUUCCGCAAUGGGCGAAAGCCUGACGGAGCAACGCCGCGUGAGUGAUGAAGGUCUUCGGAUCGUAAAACUCUGUUAUUAGGGAAGAACAAAUGUGUAAGUAACUAUGCACGUCUUGACGGUACCUAAUCAGAAAGCCACGGCUAACUACGUG
rnacentral:rRNA from 1 species